CAGUAUUGUUCUCUGUUUUCCCUUCCCUGAGACUCCAAUUACUCAUGUGCUGUUUUCCUUCAUUCUACUAAUUGAUGCACAAAUUGUUUCUGCAUUCCAGUUUAUGAUACCCUUCUCUUCAGUGUGCAUGUGGAUAGUGAAGAUGCUGCCCUACUCCUCAGGAAAUGAGCAGGCUGCCUGACUCCAGCCUGAGCUGAAGGAGUGGAGCUGGAUCCAGAUGCAAACCCUUCCCAGGAUGAUCACCUCUGAUUUCUGCAAAUGGACAUUUGGAAGAGCAGCGUACUGAUGGGCUAUUUAUUCCUACACAAACAGGACUCUAAAUGCUGCUGAACUGGAACUCAGUCAUCCUGCAUUGCUCUGCUAGCGUGAACAAACCAUUUCUGAAAGCACAAACAGACUCAAUGGGAUGUCUGGACUAACCUAUAGACAAUAGAAGUUAAAUCAAAUCUCUUCUACCAAGCAGAGAGGACCUCAGGCUUGGAAGAAGCUGAAAUGCAGAAAUGAAUGCUGGAAUGCAGAAAGAGAUAUUUACUACUGGUGGAGCAGGGCAACAGCAUGUUCUCUUGGACACUCUUAGCAGCAGCCUGUUUCACUCAAACAGGUUGAAAUCAAAACCCCGAACCUUGUUUGUCU